rnacentral:rRNA from 1 species
GACUACUGGGGUAUCUAAUCCCAUUCGCUCCCCUAGCUUUCGUCCCUGAGUGUCAGUUGCGGCCCAGCAGAGCGCUUUCGCCACCGGUGUUCUUCCUGAUCUCUACGCAUUUCACCGCUACACCAGGAAUUCCCUCUGCCCCUACCGCACUCUAGCCGAUCAGUUUCCACUGCCCCUCAGUAGUUAAGCUACUGGAUUUAACAGCAGACUUGACCCGCCACCUGCGGACGCUUUACGCCCAAUCAUUCCGGAUAACGCUUGCCUCCUCCGUAUUACCGCGGCUGCUGGCACGGAGUUAGCCGAGGCUGAUUCCUCAGGUACCGUCACUUUCUUCUUCCCUGAGAAAAGGGGUUUACAACCCAAAGGCUUUCCUCCCCCACGCGGUCUUGCUCCGUCAGGCUUGCGCCCAUUGCGGAAAAUUCCCCACUGCUGCCUCCCGUAGGAGUCUGGGCCGUGUCUCAGUCCCAGUGUGGCUGAUCAUCCUCUCAGACCAGCUACUGAUCGUUGCCUUGGUAAGCCUUUACCUUACCAACUAGCUAAUCAGACGCGAGCUCAUCCCGAGGCGAUAAAUCUUUCACCUUUCGGCUCAUCCGGGAUUAGCAGAAGUUUCCUUCUGUUGUCCCCGUCCUCGGGGUAGGUUCUCACGCGUUACUCACCCGUCCGC